rnacentral:rRNA from 1 species
AUCCCUACGGGAGGCAGCAGUGGGGAAUAUUGCACAAUGGGGGAAACCCUGAUGCAGCAACGCCGCGUGAGUGAUGACGGCCUUCGGGUUGUAAAGCUCUGUCUUCAGGGACGAUAAUGACGGUACCUGAGGAGGAAGCCACGGCUAACUACGUGCCAGCAGCCGCGGUAAUACGUAGGUGGCGAGCGUUAUCCGGAUUUACUGGUCGUAAAGGGAGCGUAGGCGGAUUUUUAAGUGAGAUGUGAAAUACUCGGGCUCAACUUGAGCGCUGCAUUUCAACCUGGAAGUCUCGAGUGCAGAAGAGG